GAUGAACGCUGGCGGCGUGCUUAACACAUGCAAGUCGAACGGAAAGGCCCAAGCUUGCUUGGGUACUCGAGUGGCGAACGGGUGAGUAACACGUGGGUGAUCUGCCCUGCACUUCGGGAUAAGCCUGGGAAACUGGGUCUAAUACCGGAUAGGACCACAUUUUGGAUGGUGUGGUGGAAAGUUUUUCGGUGUGGGAUGAGCUCGCGGCCUGUCAGCUUGUUGGUGGGGUAAUGGCCUACCAAGGCGUCGACGGGUAGCCGGCCUGAGAGGGUGUACGGCCACAUUGGGACUGAGAUACGGCCCAGACUCCUACGGGAGGCAGCAGUGGGGAAUAUUGCACAAUGGGCGCAAGCCUGAUGCAGCGACGCCGCGUGGGGGAUGACGGCCUUCGGGUUGUAAACUCCUUUCGCUAGGGACGAAGCGUUAUGUGACGGUACCUGGAGAAGAAGCACCGGCUAACUACGUG
rnacentral:rRNA from 1 species